CCGUAGCUCAUUGGUGGAGCAUCUACUUUGCAUGCAGAUGGUCCCAGGUUCAAAGUCUGGUAUCAGGU